rnacentral:SRP_RNA from 2 species
CUGUGCUAGGUGGGGGGCUAGCGGUCCCCUGUACCCGAGAUCCGCUUCAUGCGGGACUGAAUCCCCUCCCGAGGCCGGCCGUCGCGGAUCCUGCUCGCGCACGGAGGCGUUGAAGGCCGGGUCCUGUGCAGCAGCGGGCCGUGAACCCCGUCAGAUCCGGAAGGAAGCAGCGGUAAGCGGAGUUCGCUGGGUGCCGCAGGGCGACCUGGUCCGAGCCGACGACGCGGGUGAGACCGUGAUGGUCCGUUCGACGGAGGGUGCACGG